UACGGAGGGGGCUAGCGUUAUUCGGAAUUACUGGGCGUAAAGCGCACGUAGGCGGCUUUGCAAGUUAGAGGUGAAAGCCUGGAGCUCAACUCCAGAACUGCCUUUAAAACUGCAUCGCUUGAAUCCAGGAGAGGUGAGUGGAAUUCCGAGUGUAGAGGUGAAAUUCGUAGAUAUUCGGAAAGAACACCAGUGGCGAAGGCGGCUCACUGGUCCAUUACUGACGCUGAGGUGCGAAAGCGUGGGGAGCAAACAGG
rnacentral:rRNA from 1 species